rnacentral:rRNA from 1 species
CUACGGGCGGCUGCAGUAGGGAAUAUUGGACAAUGGGGGAAACCCUGAUCCAGCAAUGCCGCGUGUGUGAAGAAGGCCUGCGGGUUGUAAAGCACUUUCGGUUGGGAGGACUGCUUCUAGCACUAAUAUUGUUGGAAGUUGACGUUACCUUCAGAAGAAGCACCGGCUAACUCCGUGCCAGCAGCCGCGGUAAUACGGAGGGUGCAAGCUUUAAUCGGAAUUACUGGGCGUAAAGCGCGCGUAGGCGGCUAGAUCAGUCGGGUGUGAAAGCCCCGGGCUUAACCUGGGAACUGCAUCCGAUACUGUCUAGCUUGAGUACAGGAGAGGAGAGUGGAAUUCCACAUGUAGCGGUGAAAUGCGUAGAUAUGUGGAGGAACACCAAUGGCGAAGGCAGCUCUCUGGCCUGAUACUGACGCUGAGGUGCGAAAGCGUGGGGAGCAAACAGGAUUAGAUACCCUCGUAGUC